rnacentral:lncRNA from 1 species
GAAGGUUACAAUUUCGCAUAACGUUGUUGAAGUGUCUGCUUUAACCGGUCGUUCAUUCAAUUUGAAAAAAAGCUGCACCGACCAUCAAGAUAUGCCUUUCGAGUUUUUCUGUACAGAUCAUGAUUGCUUACUAGGCCGAUCAUGUAACUAUGGCUGAUACUCAUCGUACUUGUUCAAAGAUUCUACCAUUUGAUGUCGCGGCGAAAGGGAAUAAAGUCUUCAGUCAUGUUUGAGGAUAUUUGUAAAGAUAUUGCCGCUUUACGGAAGUCGAUAAAGGAGUUAGUAGAAGAUAGAGAGAAGAACAAGAAACACGUAGGAAGGACCAAAGAUUUGACACUACAAAAGAUAACACAGUUCAGAAAAGAUAUUAAUAAACCUCUCGACAAAUGAAAAGAGAAACUAUCCUCUGAUGUUUAUAUAAAAGCGAGAGAACUUGAUGAAAAAGCGUCCAUAGGGCUAUCUGAGGCAGUAACUAGAGAAAAAAUUAUAGAA